CGGAAUCACUGGGCUUAAAGCGUGUGUAGGCGGGCCCGUAAGUGUCUUGUGAAAUCCCACGGCUCAACCGUGGAACUGCUGGGCAUACUGCGGGUCUUGGGCCAACUAGGGGCAGCCGGAACAAGCGGUGGAGCGGUGAAAUGCGUAGAUAUCGCUUGGAACGCCGAAGGUGAAAACAGGCUGCUGGGGUUGCGCCGACGCUGAGGUGCGAGAGCGUGGGGAGCGAACCGG
rnacentral:rRNA from 1 species